rnacentral:rRNA from 1 species
GACGAACGCUGGCGGCGUGCUUAACACAUGCAAGUCGAACGGAGUGGCGAACGGGUGAGUAACACGUGGGUGAGCUGACCUGCACUUCGGGAUAAGCCAGGGAAACUGGGUCUAAUACAGGAGAGUGUGGGAUGGGGCAGGGGCAUAUCAGCUUGUUGGUGGGGUAAUGGCCUACCAAGGCGGCGACGGGUAGCCGGCCUGAGAGGGUGGACGGCCACAUUGGGCCUGCGAGACGGCCCAGUCUCCUACGUGAGGCAGCAGUGGGGAAUAUUGCACAGUGGUCGGAAGCCUGUUGCAGCGACGCCGCGUGGGUGAUGACGGCCUUCUGGUUGUAAACUCCUUUCACCAUCGACGCGGUAGAUGGAGAAGAAGCACCGGCUAACUACGUGCCAGCAGCCGCGGUAAUAC